ensembl:lncRNA
AAGUAUAAAUGAAACUUGGCCUGGACAUCUAUAAUUUCAUUGCGAGGGACCUCUGGAGAUCGUCUGUUUUAACUUCCCAUGUGAAGUGAAACUGCUGCUGGUGCUGGACCAGACCCGGUUUAUGGAACUGCUGGCAGUAGCUGCAGAUCUAUUUGAAUCAAAAUGAAAGCUGAUGGAAGAAAUCAAAAAUGCAGUGCAGCAGCUCAGUGUUGAUGCAUACCAAGGAUGGUAAAGACCACAUCAAGGAGUGGGCAGGAGAUCUGGCAGCUGACACAGUGUCCUGUCUCCAGUUGCUUGCCUGCGUCCCUGUGCUACUCCAUCUGUUGUCCUUGUUGGGAAACCAAACAAGCUAAGAAACUGCUUUUAUGUUGUUGUUGCUAGGCUAUUUUUUAGCCCUAUCAGUUUCACAGCCUGAUGCACUGUGUGACUAC